rnacentral:rRNA from 1 species
AUUGAACGCUGGCGGCAGGCCUAACACAUGCAAGUCGAACGAGUGGCGGAAGGGUGAGUAAUGUCUGGGAAACUGCCUGAUGGAGGGGGAUAACUACUGGAAACGGUAGCUAAUACCGCAUACCAUCAGAUGUGCCCAGAUGGGAUGAGCGAGUUGGAGGGGUAACGGCGCACCAAGGCGACGAGCCCUACCUGGUCUGAGAGGAUGCCCAGACACACUGGAACUGAGACACGGUCCAGACUCCUACGGGAGGCAGCAGUGGGGAAUAUUGCACAAUGGGCGAAAGCCUGAUGCAGCCAUGCCGCGUGUAUGAAGAAGGCCUUCGGGUUGUAAAGUACUUUCAGCGGGGAGGCGUUACCCGCAGAAGAAGCACCGGCUAACUCCGUGCCAGCAGCCGCGGUAAUAC